CGCUCGGCGAUCAGACGCGGCUGCAGCCCGGGCCUGGCAGGCCCCGGGCUCCCCGCCCAGCUCCCCAGCCCCGGCCCCAGCCCCGCGGAGGGUCGCGCAGGCUUUGGUGGCGGCCCCGGCGCUGGCCCCGCCCUCCGUCCCACCUUCCGGCUGCGCCGGGCCUUCCGGGAAGCCACGCGCCGGGCCAGCUCCUGGCUCCGAGCUGCGCCCGGCCUUAGGGGGAGCCGGGGGUCGCUGCUGGGCACCCCCUCCCCGGUCCUGGCCCACCCCGCCGCUGUCACCCGGGCCCUGGCUUGGGUUGCGGGUGGCGUAAGGAGACGAGGCGCCCGGAGAAGAGUCCUGGGAACCGCAAGGCCGCGCUCCCGCAGGCCCAGCCCUGCCUUUCUCCCACGCGCACGCAUGAUCACAUCCGGCCCCCGCGCACCUGCCUCCAGGACCGCGGGGACCUCCCGGAGACCUCCCUCCCUUUGGCCUGGAGGACCCCUCUCUCCCCGCAGCCUGGGCACAGAAGAGAGCACAGGGGCAUCUGGAGGUCAAGGGUGCUGCGUCAGUAUUUGAUCUCACUGAAGAGUUCUUCUGUGCCUGGAAGACUUAUUUUCAGUCUGAGAAGAAUGAUUUUUCAAUGGUUCUGUUGAACAUGCAAUUCUCACGCAAGUAUUUCUAUAAUUAUCCUGUUUCAGUUAUAAUACAGUUUCUGGAACAAUAGGACUUUUAUUGUAUUGCCAUAUCUGUUAUAAUAGAUGUUUUAUUACAGAAAAUUAUGGUAGAGUCACUAUUAUGAUUCUGAAGUUUUUAUUUCAAAUUGCUCAGAGGAUGCAAAUUCUUUCUCCCACUAGUUUUACUUUAAGGCAGCUUUGAAUUUGGGGUGGGGGUGGUUUGUCUUUUCUUCUGUUGGAGCUUUGGUCUGUUUGAGGUUUUGUUCUAUAGCAGAAUGUUCUCUUUCGUUCCAGUGUACAUAAAUGAAGUCACCCGUGGUAUUUGCUUGUUUGUUAGCCUGUGGUGCACACAAUUUUAAAAAGAAUGUCACCUAGAUUGUCUCUAUAUAUCUGCAAAAUUUCUUUCAUUAUUGCUGGAGAAGUCUCCAUAACCCUGGUAUUAAUUUUUUUUGAGAUGGAGUCUCACUUUGUCUUCCAGGCUGGAGUGCAGUGGUGCAGUCUCGGCUCACUGCAACCUCUGCCUCCCAGGUUCAAGAAAUUCUCUUACCUCAGCCUCCCUAGUAGUUGGGACUACAGGUGUGUACCACCAUGCCUGGCUAACUUUUUAUUUUUUAUUUUUUUAGACGAAGCCUCGCUCUGUCACCCAGGCUGGAGUGCAGUGGCACAAUCUUGGCUCACUGCAACCUCUGCCUCCCAAGCUCAAGCAAUUUCUGGCAAAUUUUUGUAUUUUUAGUAGGGACGGGGUUUCGCCAUGUUGUCCAGGCCGGUCUUGAACGCCUGAUAUCAAGCGAUUUGCCCUCAAGUGACCCACCCACCUUGGCCUCCCAAAGUGCUGGAAUUACAGGCAUGAGUCACGGCACACGGCCGACAAACUAUAUUUUGAGAAGGAUUUUAUUUUUCGGUGCUGAGGUGCUUUGCUGGAGGAGCUGCCAGGAGGAGCUGCGCGGGGCAGGCCCGGGGGACCAGAGGCCCUUGCUUUAGCGGCGGCCCUGCGUGUGCCAGAGGCUUGCAGAGUGAUCUGAGCACGCCAAGAGAUUGCUGUCAAUGAAAGCACCAGAUUUCCGCGUAGGAGGAACUCGGGGGCAACGAUGCAAUUGGAAGGCACUGGAAGAACUGCACCGAAAAUGACGAUGUCUUCUCAUGCAUAUGAAUUAUCCAAAGUGUAGGAAGAUGAGCCCCCACUGGAGUACGCUGAAGCCUUUAACCCAAGUACAUUUAAUGCUGCGAAGCCCUGAGUGAGGCAAAGGUGUCUUUUUAUUUUAGAAGACAUUUAGGACAGUUCAUGUCACUCUGCACAGAUGCACUGAAAUCGAUUGUGGGGCAAACUAUAAAGAGAGCUUAUGCUCCCCAAAUCUGUUUCCGAGCCAGGUAGGAUGAUGAAUUCUGAGGUGGGACUGAGGGGGAACGGUGGCAGCUCUCUCCCCUGCACGCACCGGCCAACUACUUCCCCGUUUGGACAUUGGCGUGACACCCUCCUUCCCUGUUCAUCUGUGAAAAUGUGCAGCGUUUUCAUUUAAAACCUCCUGCUCCAACAUGGGGCCUUCUGUAGACCGCAGGGACCCCCAACAAUUACUUGUUGGAAGAACAAAUGAAGCAUAAAGCAUGAUACUUUUAAACAUACAGGUGGCACAAAUUUAUUUCCAAAGAUUUAAGCACCUGAUGACUUCUCCUUAGAGAAAAAGCAAUAAAAGGAGCCUCUCCUGUCACAAAUUUCCACUUACCAUGGUUUGUGCAGAGGCAGAAUUUCAGGCUUUUACCACUGAGCUCUGGACAUGAAGCAAAGCUAACACUAGAGGGUGCUAUAGAUUAGGAAAUCCAGGGACCAUGGGCACCGGAGCGCGUUCAAGACGCUGCCCUCCCGAUUGUAACCUAACAAACUGAGCGUGUCACUUUGCCAGAAUUUACCCCUUCACCAUUUCUGCUAUGAUGAAAUUAUCCAGAUAUGUUUAAUUUGAAAUUUUGACUUAGCCUGUGAUUAUAUGGAAUUUCAAGACUGGCUGUGGCCCAGUGCAGUGGCUCACUCACACCUGUAAUCCCAGUGCUUUGGGAGGCCAAGCCUGGUGGAUGAUUUGUGGUCAGGAGUUCGAAACCAGCCUGGCCAACAUGGUGAAACCCUGUCUCUCCUAAAAAUACAAAAAUUAGCCUGGUGCCUGUAAUCCCAGCUACUCGGGAGGCUGAGGCAGGAGAAUUGCUUGAACCCUCAGGAGGCAGAGGUUGCAGUGAGCCGAGAUCACGCCACUGCACUCCAGUCCUGUCCAAAAAAAAAAAAAAAAAAAGGACUGAGCCCAGGUCUGUAGGAUAGACACUUUGUGUUUGUAUCUUAAGUACUUUGCGAUCUCACCCUUACAAACCUGAUACUAAAUUCCACUUACCUACUUCAGUCCUUCUCCGAGGGAAGGUGGAGUUUGGAGGCAAUUUUAGGAAGCAGGAUGAGGAAACAGGGAAGGUGACACAGUGCCUUCACAAGCCAACACAAGGGUGCAUUACCAAGGCUGGUCCCCUCUACAGGCACCCAGGGCUCGGUCCCACGCAGACUGCUGAGUAGACAGAAGACCUUUCAGAAUCUUCUGCCUCUCCCCCAUUGGCUGAGAGUUCCCUGGGAACGGUAACCCCCGUACCUUCGGGCUGAACAUAUGUUUGCAUGCUGAAUGGGCUCUUUCUGCCAUCCCAUGCCACAGCAUUCAGGAAGCCCUGGGGCCAAAGCAAACAGCAUGCUUGAGGCAAGGUGCUGUGAGGCCCAAAUGAGCUGAAGCUUGCACAAAACUGCUCACCACUGCCAUAGCUGAAUCAGCGGAGGCCAGGAGGAUGCGAGGCGGUGCCCGCCCGCGAUUGUCUGAUCAUCUCCCUCUUGGACUGCUCAGACUCAGGCAUGCCCUGCAUCAAAUCCAACCUGUCACCAGGUCUUCAAGGGGGAGGCCUGCGGAAAUCCUACUGUGAAUGAAACUACAGUUGCUAUUCAUCGUCUCCCUCCUGCACCUACCACUCCAGAUGUCCCUCACUCUUGGCCAGCACUUUGGCUUGUUUAAGUUGUGUGCCAGGUUCAAGAUUCACCAAGAAGGCAGGGCGCAGUGGCUCACAUCUGUAAUCCCAGCACUUUGGGAGGCUGAAGCAGGCAGAUCACUUCAGCCCAGGAGUUUGAGACCAGCCUGGGCAACAGAGCAAGACCCCAUCUCUAAAGAAAAAUAAUUAUUCAGGUGUGGUGGCACAUGCCUGUAGUCCCAGCUACUCAGGAGGCGGAGGUGGGAGGAUCGCUUGAGCCCAGGAGGUUGAGGCUGCAGUGAGCCAUGAUUGCACCAUUGCACUCUAGCUGGGCAACAGAGCAAAACCCUGUCUCCAAAAAUAAUAAGUAAAUAAAUAAAUAAGAUACUAAGAGACAUCCCAGUGACUCUCCUGAGUCCCAAACAUACUCAUCCAUCCCUCAUGGAGAAACAACUCUAUCUCCUUGCAAUAGUCAGAACUAGUUUCUCCUGCCAGUUUAAUCAGUACUUUUUUUAUUGCAGUAAAAUACACACAACAUAAAAUGUGCGACUUUAACCAUUUAUUAUUAUUAUUAUUAUUAUUAUUAUUAUUAUUGAGACGGAGUUUCGCUCUUGUUGCCCACGCUGGAGUGCAGGGGCACGAUCUUGGCUCACUGCAACUUCCACUUUCUGGGUUCAAGCGAUUCUCUUGCCUCAGCCUCCGGAGUAGCUGAGAUUACAGGCACACGCAGCCAUGCCCAGCUAAUUUUUGUAUUUUUAGUAGAGACGGAGUUUCACCAUAUUGGUCAGGCUGGUCUCAAACUCCUGACCUCAGGUGAUCCACCCACCCCUUGGCCUCCCAAAGUACUGGGAUUACAGGCGUGAACCAACAUGCCCAGCCCAUUUUAACCAUUUUUAAAUGUUCAUUCAGUGGCCUGAAUUACAUGAACAUUGCUGGACAACCAUUGCUACUAUGUAUUUCCAAAACUUUUUAAUUGCCUUAAACAGAAACCUUGUAACCAUUAAGCAACACCUCUCCAUCCCCUCUCCCCUCAGCCCCUAGUAACCACUAGCCUACUUUCUCUGCUACUUUGUCUCUUGUAGAUGUUUCAAACAAGUAGAAUGAUAUGAUACUUGUCCUUUUGAAACUGACUUAUUUUACAUAGUAUAGUGUUUUCAAGGUCCAUCCAUGUGGUAGCACGUAUUAAAGCUUCAUGCACUUUUAUGGCUGAAUAAUGUUCCAUUGUAUGUACAAGGCGUGCCACAUUUUGUUAUUCAUUCACCUGUUAAUGGCAACUUGGCUUGUUUCCACUUUUGGGCCCUUGUGGAUAAUGCUGCAGUGAACAACAGCAUGGAUGUCUCUGAGUCCUGCUUUCAGUUCUUCAGGGUAUAUGCCUAGCAGUGGAGUAGCUGAUUCUAUGUUAAUUCUAUGUUUAAUUUUUUGAGAAACUGCCAUAUUGUUCUCCAGGCUGGCUGCACCAUUCCACAUUCCCACUAACCGUGCACAAAGAUUCCAAUUUCUUACCAACACACUCUCAUCAAUACAUGUUAUUUUUAGUUUAUCGUGUUUUCAUUUUUCUUUUAUUAUAUAUAGCAGGCAUUCUAAUGGGUGUGGGGUGGUAUCUCAUUUUGGUUUUGAUCUGCAUUUUCCUAAUGUUUAGCGAUGUUGAGUAUACUUUCCUGUGGUCAUUUGUAUAUUUUCUUUGGAUGUGUAUCUGUUCAAAUCCUUUACUCAUUUUUAAUUGAGUUGUCUUUUUGUUAUUGAGUUGUAGGAGUUCCUUAUAUAUUCUUGAUUUUAAAACUUUAUCAGAUAUAUGAUUUGCAGAUAUUUUCUCCCAUUCCAUCGGUUGUUUUUUCAGUUUCUUGAUAAUGUCCUUUCAUGCACAAAAGUGUUUAGUUUUGAUGAAUUCCAAUUUGUCUCUUUUUCUUUCUUUGCUCAUGUUUUUGGUGUCGUAUCUGAGAAUCCAUUACCAAAUCCAAGGUCAUGAAGAUUUACCUGUAUGUUUUCUUGUAAGAGUUCUGAUGUUUGUCACUGAUCCAUGCUGAGUUAACAUUUAUACCGUAUAAUGUAGGGGCUACCUCUUCAUUCUUUUGCAUGUAGAAACUCCGUUAUCCUAAUUGUUGCUAAUUGCCUCUGGCCCACUGACUUGAGAAGCCCAAGAGGACCAGGGAGUAUUUGUAUUUUCAAGUUCUGUAGAAUUGGUGAUGUUCCCUGGUGGAGGAGUCCACUCUCCGCUCCUCCUCCCCCAUCAAGAACUAAGACGUCGAAUUUGCUAGAGCCCCACCCAAAGCUGUGGACACAGGAAGCACACAUUUCUCAAGGUGGUCUCUGCGAGUGAUGGUGACAGCAGCCGAUUUCACUUCCCCCGCCACCCCCUGGGUUUCCAGCCCCAUGUCUUUCUGCUGUUGGGAUCAUAGCACCAUGUGUCUGCUCUUGGUAAGGCACGUACACCACAGUUUCAAGGAUAGUAUCCCAAUUAUACAGGGUGUGGGCUCACGCUUUCACCCUGGCAUAGCCUUGGCACAGGUCAUCCUGAUGUUCUUGUAGGCCUGCUGCUUCCAGAGGAACCUUGGAGCCAUAGCUUCUUUGCUGUAAAACAGACCCCUUGGCUUGAGGCAGUGUUGUUCAAAUCCCUUGCCAAUAAAUCAGAGACAACCGUAAGUGCUCUGUUGGUGAUGCCAGUGAAGGCACUGUUGCAAGGAAGGAAAAUCCAUAUCCAGAGUCGGUGUUCACUCUGCUAGGACUCAUCACUGUCUCAUCAAUGACAGAAGGGGUCUCAUAUAAUGAACUUUGCACUGUGACUGCCUGAUCUCCUUGUGAAAUGGUGCCAUCUUGAGGGCUCAUUAUUAGUCCAUGUGGUUGGCAGGUAGGGCAUUCAGUAGUGGCAGCAGCCAGGUCAUCUCUAGCAAGAGGGAACUUGUGUUGGGCUCAUGCCUCCCUUGACUUUUGCCACCAUGGCCACACCAUUCAUGGAACUAUCUAUUUCCCCUGCCAUGGGGUGGCUGAUGCUGGCUGAUGCCCAGAGGAUGAACCAUCCUGUCCACCCAGUUGCUAGGUGCCUCCUCUGCAGGAGAGGCUUUUUGGCAGACCUUAACGUAAGUCCAAUGAUUGGCACGCUAGUGCCAUUUCCAUAGGUCAGUAGUACUGAUUUUUCCUUUUGUCUCAGACACCAAUAUGGCUCGGCACAGCAGUUACUGAUCCUGUCUCUAUUUGAAAUUUUAAUAUUUUGCUCAUCAUGGAUUUUUGCAUUAAUUUUAACUCUUUAAAAUAUUGCAUUAACAUAUUAUGCAUCUUCAUGUUAUUAUUAUUCCUCUUCAGCUUCCCAAAGUGCUGGGAUUACAGGCUGAGCCACCGUGCCCAGCUCAAAUGCAUUAUUUUCACUGCUGAUGGGUUGCUGUUGUGUCCUCCCAAUCUAUGACUUGAUGGGCCUCACUGUAAUCAGUUCCAGGAACAAAGUCACUCACUGUCCUGUGUAGUCUCCGAGUCUCUGCGAGGACCCACUGCACGGCAGGAGCUAGUCUCAGACUGAGAUGAGUUCUCGGCAGCAGAAGGCACCACCGCACUCCCAAGGGCUAAAGGUUUACCCUGCACCUCUCCUACUGAAGCUUGCAGAGGGUUGGCAUGGCAGCCUUCUUCGUCAUAGGAGACUCUAAGACUGAUAUUUUUGGCUCCUCUGGGUUGUGCAGCUUGAGUGGAAGAGCAGAUCCUCUCACAGCCUAGACCUCCUGGCCAGCUGUUUCUUGCCCUAGACUCCAUUCCGAGUGGCAGUCUCCCAAGCUGUCUGAUAGGCGGAUGGGAGAAGUAUCAGCAAGUAUGCUACUUCUAGUGUCCCAGGUGGUGCACCCAGCACUGUGCCUCUUCCCUAGUGCAGCUGAAGGAAAGCUGCCACUGCCUGUGCCUUCCUUUACAAGGGUUGUCCUGGCAUGUGUCAGACCACUGGGUCCCCUAACAACCUUGCCAAUGUGCCAGUCCCCUGAAUGUUUCUGGGCUUUAGCCCCUGCCCUUGGCUUGCACGUGUCUUCUUCCUAGGACAUCCGGGGUGCUUGUGUCAUAUGCUGGUAGCAUAAUGUCAUCAACAGUGCACCAGUGUGCUGUGCAAACUAUCCCGAGACAGCCUGUAUGCAUGCAAAGUAUGCUCAAAAGCACCCAAGGCCGAGGCGUGGCAGCUCAUGCCUAUAAUUCCAGCACUUUGGGAGGCUGAGACUGAUGGAUCACUUAAGCCUAGCAGUUUGAGACUAGCCUGAGCAAAAUAGUGAGACCCUAUCUCAACUGAAAACAAAAAAAGAAAAAGAAAAAGAAAUUAGCUAGGUGUGGUGAUAUGCGCCUGGGGUCCCAGCUACUGGGAGGCUGAGGUGGGAGGAUUCAUUGAGCCCUGGAGGCUGAGGCUACAGUAAGCUGUGACUGCACUACUGCACUCCAGCCUGGAUGACACAGCGAGACUCUGUCUCAAAAUAAAUAAAUUUAUUUAUUAAUACCGCAUCAAUCGGUAUUUCCCAAUUUUCAUAAUUGAACUGUGGUUGUAUAAGAGAAUGCCCGUGGCCAGGCGCAGUAGUCCCUGCUACUUGGGGGUUGAGACAGGCGAAACCCUGUCUCCACUAAUAAUAUAAAAAUUAGCAGGUCAUGGUGGCACAUGCCUGUAAUUCCAGUACUCAGGAGGCUGAAGCAGGAGAAUCGCUUGAACCUGGGAGGUGGAGGUUGCAGUGAACCAAGUUUGUGCCACUGCACUCCAGCCUGGACAAUAGUGUGAGACUCCGUCUCAAAUAAAAAUAAAAAUAAAAGAAGUUGCCUGGCUUAGUUGUGCUUACUGGACUCAGAGCCCCACAUGGAGUCUGCUGACCUGUCUUGGGAUUGAAGGGUGAUGGGUGAGAAGGAUGGAGAAUUUGUAAAGGGCCGGCAGUCUCCCUGAUCUGUCUUUUCUAAUUUUGUAGUCAGACUCCUCCUAUUUGGUUCCUGGGCGACCUUCAGUUCUUGAAUUUUAGGGUUCCAAACAACAAGUGUUAAGUGAAGUUUGGGGCCUUUUAAAAGGUUUCAGUGCUUGAAAUUUGAGACAAUAAUAAUAGCUGCCAUCUUACAGUGAGUUUGUCAGCUCUGGGUUGUGAAUUUUAUGUCUGUGACUGCAUCUCAUCUCAUUGAUGUAAAAAGUAAAAUUACUUUUGCCAAGUACUGCCUUCAG